rnacentral:tRNA from 1 species
AGGAUAAAAGUUUAUUAAACAUUUAAUUUGCAAUUAAAAAAAAAUUGUGAUCAAUUUAUCUUA